rnacentral:rRNA from 1 species
UUUGCAUUGUUAAAUAUGCUAGUCCUUUCAUGAUUAUGUGAUAGGUGGUGCAUGGCCGUUCUUAGUUCGUGGAGUGAUCUGUCUGCUUAAUUGCGUUUCAAAUUACUUAUAAGGUAGCAAUACGCGAUGAAGCUUUCAAUAGUCCUCACGGAUUCACUUGAGUCUCUCGCUUCGCUAUCCUUUCGAAUGCAACGAACGUGACCGCAACCUCUUGUUGCCUUCGUUUAACAUCCUGCAGCUCGCUGUGGGUACUGAGGGCUUCACUCGGUGACUUUGGGCUGAGCAAUCGGUCUUUUGAUCUGAGUAAACUAGAGGGACCGCUGUCAACUUCUUAAACCAGAGGAAGGUUGCGGCAAUAACAGGUCUGUGAUGCCCUUAGAUGUUCCGGGCUGCACACGUGCUACAAUGAUCGUAGCAGUGAGCAUCUUAUUUGAUUUACUUAACACCGCAUACGUGAGUACCAACUAGCUUAGCAAUAAGUCAAGUAGUUCUCUACGCAGCGGUAACAGCCUGCUUCGAGAGCAAGUGGGUAAUCAAUUAGAAGUAACGAUUUCUUCGCAUUAGCACACUUAAUAU